UACGUAGGAGGCGAGCGUUGUCCGGAUUUACUGGGCGUAAAGGGCGCGUAGGCGGCCAUGCGUGUCUUCCGUGAAAUCCCUCGGCUUAACUGAGGACGUGCGGAAGAAACUGCAAGGCUCGAGUCCGGGAGAGGGGGGUGGAAUUCCCGGUGUAGCGGUGAAAUGCGCAGAUAUCGGGAGGAACACCUAUGGCGAAGGCAGCUCGCUGGGACGUUACUGACGCUGAGACGCGAAAGCGUGGGGAGCAAACAGG
rnacentral:rRNA from 1 species